rnacentral:rRNA from 1 species
AUGCUUGACCACUUGGGUGAUUAUAUGAGUAGAACUGUUAAUGAUCUUAAGUUUAUUAGUAAACAUGCUUCCAUGGUUACAACUCAAGUAGAACAAGUACUUAAAGCUCAGGAUGAUUUGAUUAAUGAGUUGAAUAGUAAGAAUAAUGAUAAUGCUAUCAGGGUUAUGACUAGAGGUGGUAAAAUGACUCAGGAACCUUUGUAUCAUGAAGGCCAUCCUAAGACAAUUGAGCAGGAUUCUCAGAGAACUAAUACCGAUGCACCUAGUCCUCGUACUAAAAAGAAAAAGAAAACUGAUAGGACUUUGCAUGCUAGUGAACCUGCUAUAGACACACCUGAGAAUCCCAAUGAUAUUUCUAUUUCUGAUGCUGAAACACAAUCUUGUAAUGAACAUGAACCUAGUGAUAAUGUUAAUAAUGAUGUUCAUGUUGAUGCUCAACCUAGUAAUGAUAAUUAUGCAGAGAUUGAACCUGCUGUUGAUCUUCAUAACCUACAAUCACAGAAUCAACGCUAUCAUAAGAGAGAUUUUGUUGCUAGAAAACAUGGUAAAGAAAGAGAAACAUGA